rnacentral:rRNA from 1 species
AGGACGAACGCUGGCGGCGUGCUUAACACAUGCAAGUCGAACGGGGUCCAACCAGUCGCAAGACUGGGGAAGACUUAGUGGCGAACGGGUGAGUAACACGUGAGCAACCUGCCCCGAAGACCGGGAUAACAGCGGGAAACCGCUGCUAAUACCGGAUGCCCCCACCGGGCCGCAUGACCUGGUGAGGAAAUGGAUUCCGCUUCGGGAGGGACUCGCGGCCUAUCAGCUUGUUGGUGGGGUAAUGGCCUACCAAGGCGUCGACGGGUAGCUGGUCUGAGAGGACGAUCAGCCACACUGGGACUGAGACACGGCCCAGACUCCUACGGGAGGCAGCAGUGGGGAAUCUUGCGCAAUGGGCGAAAGCCUGACGCAGCAACGCCGCGUGAGGGACGAAGGCCUUCGGGUUGUAAACCUCUUUCAGCAGGGACGAUUGUGACGGUACCUGCAGAAGAAGGACCGGCCAACGUACGCGCCAGCAGCCGCGGUAA